UAAAAAAGUACUAGUAGGUCAAUGAAGUAAGAAAAAACAGAAGAUACUCCUGUUUUGAAAACUAAAGGAAAAGAAAUUUUUAAAAACAGGGUAAUUAGUUUCACAUUAUACAAAUAGCUCAGAACAAGAGUUUAAAUUAGGUAACUAGGACAGAUACAGGGUAGGGCAAAAGUAGGUUUACGUUGUGAGUACACAAAACAGAGUGUAUUCUUGUAUUAUUAUUUAUUAAUUACUAUAUUAUUUUCAAUACAAGCAAUAGUAAAUCUACUUUUGCCCGACCCUGUAUAAGAUUACCAUGGGUGGAGGAAAGAAAAGAAAGUGAAGCAGAAAUUUAGUGGUAAAAAGAGUUACUAGCAGGGCUCAGUGAACUUUUUCUCUAAGCUUUAUGGGUCAUGCACUGUCCCACAUUUGCUUUUUCUUUAACAACAUUUUAAAGAUAUAAAAAGCAUUUUAGCUGGGUUAUACAAAAAUCAGGCUGCAGGACAGAUAUGAGCAGCUGGUGGUAGCUUCCCAUCCUUUCUUAAGCAUGGUGGUCAAGAGCACCAACUCUGGAACCAGGCUGACUGAAUUAAUCCUCAGACAGUCACUCUCUAGGUGCCCUUGGGCCAGUCACUUAACUUCUCUGUAUCUGGGUUUCCAUACCUGUAAAAGAUAAUAACUACCUUGAGGGUUGCUAUAACAAAUAAAAGUACAAGUAAAAUGCCUAGCUAGAGAAAAGCCGUACCACUGGGAGGAUUUGUUAGAUUAUAAGCAGACAGAAGAGAGCCAACAGGAGAUGUAUUAAGUGGAAAAAGAAUGAUUAAUUUUUAAAAAGCAGCAAAGAAGAAAUGGAGGAAUGGGAUCAGAACAGUGCAGGUGAAUACAAGAUACAACAGGCUCUAUCCCAACUGCUAAUGAAAGUAUAAACUGGUUUGGAGACGAGCCUGCCAACUUUGAUCAAAAUUUCAAAUGUGUACAUCUUUUGAGCCUUUCACCUCUUCUAAAACUUGGCUGUACAUAUAUAUGCAAACACGUAUAAAGCUAUGAAUUUAGUGUUGACAAAAAUAAAAAAAUAGAA